rnacentral:lncRNA from 1 species
GCUUGAGAACACUAGGGAUGCAAUCUUGGUGGACGGAGAGGGUAGUGGUUCGAGCGACGAGGCCGAACAGGCGGGGGCCGAUGAUCGCGUGAAUGUUUCGAGCACAACAAGCGGCAGUAAAAGGAAGUCGUCCAGUGGGCAGCGCAGGGCCAGGAAGAAAAAUAUGUCCGCUCGUGAAUUGUUAUUCUAAGUAGAUCGUACUACCAGUGUGGCGGAGGAAGUAGCGGCAAAGAUUCAUACGAUGAUGGCUUCAAAUGAAACCGCUGGGAUGGACUGCAUCCAAGAGUUGUUAGUGACAGGCUCCUUCGAGCGGUGAACAUCUCUUUACUUCUUCACAUGCCAGCUUCUAGCCCAGAAGCGAUAUCGUGACAUGCUUGCCAUCAUGAAAGACGCAGAUAAGAAAUUUGAGUGGAUUGAGUGGAUGUUUAAUGACUCUGGAAAGUAACAAUGCCAGUGACUGUGUGCCUUUUUUUUUCCCUUUGCUGCCUGUAUGAAAAUUGUUGUAUUUUUGUUACGCACUUUUCUCCACUUGUUC